ensembl:snRNA U2 U2 spliceosomal RNA
AAUGUUUCUCGGCCUUUUGGCUAAGAUCAAGUGUAAAAAUAAUCUGAAAUUUCUUUCUGAUGACUGGAGAGUUUGUCACUGAUCUCAAAACAAUUCUCUCCACUAAAAUCCCAUAUUUAUUUUAAAUAGGA